UACGGGGGGGAGCAAGCGUUGUUCGGAUUUACUGGGCGUAAAGGGCGCGUAGGCGGCCACCGCAAGUCGGUUGUGAAAGUCUCUGGGCUUAACCCAGAAAGGUCAACCGAUACUGCGGGGCUAGAGUGCAGAAGGGGCAACUGGAAUUCUCGGUGUAGCGGUGAAAUGCGUAGAUAUCGAGAGGAACACCUGCGGCGAAGGCGGGUUGCUGGGCUGACACUGACGCUGAAGCGCGAAGCUAGGGGAGCGAACGGG
rnacentral:rRNA from 1 species